rnacentral:rRNA from 1 species
GACGAACGCUGGCGGCGUGCUUAACACAUGCGAGUCGAACGGAAAGGCCCUGCUUGCAGGGUACUCGAGUGGCGAACGGGUGAGUAACACGUGGGUGAUCUGCCCUGCACUUCGGGAUAAGCCUGGGAAACUGGGUCUAAUACCGGAUAGGAGCCAUUUUUAGUGUGAUGGUUGGAAAGUUUUUUCGGUGUAGGAUGAGCUCGCGGCCUAUCAGCUUGUUGGUGGGGUAAUGGCCUACCAAGGCGGCGACGGGUAGCCGGCCUGAGAGGGUGGACGGCCACAUUGGGACUGAGAUACGGCCCAGACUCCUACGGGAGGCAGCAGUGGGGAAUAUUGCACAAUGGGCGCAAGCCUGAUGCAGCGACGCCGCGGGGGGGAUGACGGCCUUCGGGUUGUAAACUCCUUUCGCUAGGGACGAAGCUUUUUGUGACGGUACCUAGAGAAGAAGCACCGGCUAACUACGUG